CACUGAGAAGAGGGGUAUAAAAGGCUGCGAGCAUAAGAAAAGCCAAAGUUAAGAAUAAGACGUUACCGGUGAAACUUAGCUAGAGAGCAGUGCAGAAGUGGAAAAAUUUAAUUUGUGUGUUGCGAUUUUUUUUUAUUGUGAAUAUUCCGGUGGUGUAUCAAGCUUUUUUGGAAGCACCGAAAAUUGUCCGGUUUUGGUCAGCACAACGGCGGGAAAUUGCCUUUUCUUUUUGGUAACGCAAGGUAGUGGCAAGUUGUCCACAGGAGAAAAAAGCCAAAAAAAGUUACAUUGAGGGUGUGGAGAUUUGAAUUGUAAACUGGCCAGCUGCAACUUUGAGCUUUUUGCUGUGCCUGUUAUUGAUCCCGCCCAGAACGCCGGCAGUGUAAAAGGACCAGUCAACAAGUCCAGCUUCAUUUGAGGGUUUGCCUGGCGUUCAAAAUCUGUUUCCUCCGGAAAGAAGCGUAAACUGGAAGGGGAGAUAAGAAGAAUUAAUCAAUAACGUUAUAAAUCACUGCUCAGGUAAAAGGUGUCUUACCGUUGUGUUGUCCUUGAUAUAUUUAUAUAUAUGUGACGUCCAUAAAGUUUGCUGUCUCCUUUUUUGGAACUAAAAGAAAAGAAAAAAAGAGUUAAUAAUCAUAAAUUUCGAGAAAAAAAAAUUAUAAUAUUCAGUAUAAAAAUUUGGUAAUAAGAUAGGUUAUAGUUCUUAGGAUUUAAGUAAUAAUCAAUCUGUAAGGGAAAAAUACCGCGUUUAUUUUCAAAGGCUAGGAGGUGUUACAGUAAAAUUAUCUUGAGUCCUUGUGAUUCGAUCUGAUAGUUUAGGCCGUGGAAUUUUAGCGGCAAUUAGGCCAGUUAAGAGAGCUCUUUUAGGUGGCUAGUAAUUUCGUAUAGACGCGUGAAUAUUGCGCGGGAAAAGCAAGGCAAAGGAUAAUAUAUUGGUUUCUACCGAGUAAUUAAAGCCAUAGAUUUAAGAAAGCCCGGUAUUAUUCUUAAUUUGUUUUUUUUUAUACCAUACAGUUUGUCAAUUUUAGUGUAAGAAAAAAAAUAGUAGAGAAAAAAAUUAAGAAAAUAUUUAAAGCUAACUUAUUUUUUUUAAUAAAAUUAAAAAUGAUUCUUUUGUAAACAGUA